rnacentral:sRNA from 1 species
ACAUUUGGUACAUGAGGUUUUCUAUGGAUUUCUGGCAAAAGGUAUCAACAUACUUUUACAUUUUGAAAUGAUCUGACUUAUGAAAGACCAUUGUAAUUCUAGCUUUUUCUGUUGUGUCCAUGUUCUUUUUCCUUUACAAAUCUACCCUGAUGUUUUGUAUUGAUUACUUUGCCCUUUGAUGUCAUUCAUCAAAUACUUUGGUGUUAUUCAUUCUACUUUUGUGGCUCUGCAUAUGAUCUGCAGUGCUUACUUUAAAUUAAGUUGGCAGUUAGGUAUCAAUGAUGGAAAUUAGGUGUUUAUGUUCCAUAACAUAAACAUUAUCAUAACAUUACUAAGACUUAAUGUUUUAGUAAUUAGAUUGUCAGUCUACCUAUGUAACUGUUUCCUAGAGAAAAAUCAGGAUAGAAGACAGAUAAAAUACUAGUUAACUAAAAAUUUAAAUAAAUCUAUUGUUAGGAUUUUCUGGUAACAAAUUACUUGGGUAUUUAUUUCUGUAAGAAAAGUUUGGAAGGCUUUCCACAGCAUCUGCUGUAUUUCUUGAAGGCAGAAGAAAAAGUAAGUACCAUGCUAACAAUGUAAAUUUGUAAGGCCCUUCAUAAAUUUGCACAAUGCCUUCUUACUUGCUCAAGACACUUGUGAUGUAUUAAUUGCUCUUAUUCAUAUUUACGAAUCAGGAGUAUAAGACCCAAAGAAAUAGCCAAGAGCACAGAGGCUGGAACUGAGCUUUUUCUGAAACAAGAAAGCUGUCUGAGGAUUCCUCCAAUGCUUUAGAACCUGGUAAUUUUAUUAAUUUGAUGUUUUUAAAAAUAUGUUUAUACAGAUGCUUGCAUUGGGCAAUCAAGUUGGCAAACUUUAUGUUUGGGAUUUAGAAGUAGAAGAUCCUCAUAAAGCCAAAUGUACAACACUGACUCAUCAUAAAUGUGGUGCUGCUAUUCGACAAACCAGUUUUAGCAGGGAUAGCAGCAUUCUUAUAGCUGUUUGUGAUGAUGCCAGUAUUUGGCGCUGGGAUCGACUUCGAUAAAAUACUUUUGCCUAAUCAAAAUUAGAGUGUGUUUGUUGUCUGUGUAAAAUAGAAUUAAUGUAUCUUGCUAGUAAGGGCACGUAGAGCAUUUAGAGUUGUCUUUCAGCAUUCAAUCAGGCUGAGCUGAAUGUAGUGAUGUUUACAUUGUUUACAUUCUUUGUACUGUCUUCCUGCUCAGACUCUACUGCUUUUAAUAAAAAUUUAUUUUUGUAAA